UGGUUAGUAGAAACUUUUGAAGAACAAAUCUCAUCAAAGAAAAACUCUGGAAGAACAAAAGGGGUGCCAUUCAAGUUAAUUGCUUGAUCGAUACUUUGUUCAUUGAUGUUUUUCUGAACCGAAACCCGAAUUUCUGUUUUCCAAUUGAAGGAGUAGUAUCUGGUGAGAAGAUGAGUGCUCGGAAGAAGACCCCUUUCCAGAAGCACAGAGAAGAGGAAGAGGCAAAGA
rnacentral:misc_RNA from 1 species